CAGCAGCCGCGGUAAUACGAAGGGUGCAAGCGUUAAUCGGAAUUACUGGGCGUAAAGCGCGCGUAGGUGGUUCGUUAAGUCGGAUGUGAAAGCCCCGGGCUCAACCUGGGAACUGCAUCCAAAACUGGCGAGCUAGAGUAUGGCAGAGGGUGGUGGAAUUUCCUGUGUAGCGGUGAAAUGCGUAGAUAUAGGAAGGAACACCAGUGGCGAAGGCGGCCACCUGGGCUAAUACUGACACUGAGGUGCGAGAGCGUGGGGAGCAAACAGGAUUAGAUACCCUGGUAGUCCACGCCGUAAACGAUGUCGAUCUAGCCGUUNGGNUCCUUGAGAUCUUAGUGGCGCAGCUAACGCAUUNCUUUAAANGGGCCUGGGGAGUACGGCCGCAAGGUUAAAACUCAAAGGAAUGACCGGAAUGGGCGAAUNCGCGCCGCAUU
rnacentral:rRNA from 1 species